UACGUAGGGUGCGAGCGUUAAUCGGAAUUACUGGGCGUAAAGCGUGCGUAGACGGUAAUGUAAGUCAGAUGUGAAAGCCCCGGGCUUAACCUGGGAACUGCGUUUGAUACGGAUGGGCUAGAGUUCGGGAGAGGAGAGUGGAAUUCCCAGUGUAGAGGUGAAAUUCGUAGAUAUUGGGAAGAACACCGGUGGCGAAGGCGGCUCUCUGGACCGAGACUGACGCUGAGGCGCGAAAGCGUGGGGAGCAAACAGG
rnacentral:rRNA from 1 species